GGCCCUAUAGUGCAGCGGUUAACACACAUCCCUUUCACGGAUGAGGCAGGAGUUCGAUUCUCCUUGGGGCUG
rnacentral:tRNA from 1 species